CAUCCUCCCUGUGGCUCCAGAAUUAACUCUCGAAACAACAGGAUUUGGGGUAGGAAGGUUACAGCUAAGGAGCCGCCAGUCCCCACCCAUCUGCUCUGGGAGAAGUUAUCUCGAGGUCCAGUUAAGCGGUCCAGCAACUCCGAAGGACUCGCUGGAAAGUCCUGCACACCAAGCUUGCCCCUUCUGCAUAGCUCGGGAUUUUCCAAAUGCAGACCAAGAGGGAUUGAGCUCUCCUCUACCCUGCCUGGCCCAGAAGUUCCAUUUCCUACCUCCUUCUAGCAGGGGAGCAGGGGCCUUCCUUGGUGGCCCCCAGGAUGGCCCUAUCUCAGAAAGACACAACCACGACUUCUCUGUAUAAUAGACACCACCACACAAAGUUCCUGGGUGUCCUUCGAACUUGGACAACCUCUGGCCUGGCAGUGUCCUGAAGAAAUUGACAACCCUCCAUCUGGACCUCCGCAUAAGUUUAAAAACCUAGCAACAUAGCUCCUCUGCAGGAGACAGGAGACAAGUGCUGGUGUAACCGAGUCUCUUGGAACAAUGGGAAGCCUUUCGGGAGGAUUAUUGGAAGAAAAUCCAGAGGGAGGGGGCUUGCUUAAAGAGAGUGACCACAGCCAG